CCUAAGGGAACCAAAAAGCAUUCGCGGAUGUCACAUGGCCUUCCUGAUUGUUUAGAGGUAAAUAUGACUAAGUUAAGCAUUUACAGAGUAUUAUGUGUUUGGAGUGGGGAACCAAAUAGGCCAGUGGCUGGGAAGUGGGGGCAGGGGAUGAAAAGAGAGUGGUUAAUGUGUACAAAAAUAGAAUUAGAUAGAAGGAAUAAGUUUAGUGUUGGACAGCACAGUAGGGUGACUAUGGUUAACACUGAUGUACUGUACAUUUCAAAAUAGCUGGAAGAUUUGAAAUGUUCCCAACACAAAGAAUAAAUGUUCAAGGGGAAGGAUAUUCUCAUUACCCCAAUUGGAUCAUUGGACAUUGUAUGCAUGUAUCAAAAUAUCAUAGAUACCCCAUAAGUAGGCAUAAUUAUGUAUCAAUUUAGAAAAAGACAAAUAGUCCUUCCUUCUCAGAAGCUCACAGGAGCUAGAGAGAAGUGAGUUGAGAGAGGCACUGGAAAUGACUAGAAAACCAACUCCUAGAGUAGUUAAAUGACUCUAAUGGGGUACAAACAGCCCUCAAACAGACCAGCUCCAUAAGAACUAGUUUCAGAUUCAAGGGAGAUAAGGUGACAUUAACUCUUAAAUUUUCUUUUCUUUUUUUUUUUUUUGCGACAGGGUUUCAUUCCCAUCGCCCAGGCUGGAGUGCAGUGGUGUACUCUCAGCUCACUACAACCUCUGCCUCCUGGGUUCAAGCAAUCCCCCUGCCUCAGCCUCCUGAGUAACUGUUACUACAGAGAUGGGGUUUCGCCGUGUUGCCCACGCUGGUCUCAAACUCCUGAGCUCAAGCAAUCUGCAAGCCUCAGCCUCCCAAAGUGCUGGGAUGACAGCCAUGAGCCUCCAUGCCCAGGUGAGACCCUAACAUUUUCAUGAACAUGAUCUCGUUUAACCAUCAACAAAGUUCUUAGGAGGCAGCACAGACAGUAUUAAUCUUAUUUCCCAAUGCUGGUAAAGGACUUGAACAGAUAAUGGAAGAUGGGCAUGCUAAAUAAGCAAAUUAAAAGUCUGACUACACUAAUGGUCUAAAGAUUAUCUUUGAAGAAACCUUGGCCUUGAGUGUGACCCCUCUCCAGGGACCACCACUCCACUGAGACCCAAACUUCCCCUUCCCUGCUGUAUCCCCCUCCGUGUGAAGGAAAAAUAAAAGAAAAAAAAGUUUUAGGCUGGGAGCGGUGCCUCAUGCCAGCACUUUGGGAGGCCGAGGCAGGCAGAUCACGAGGUCAAGAGAUGGAGACCAUCCUGGCCAACAUGGUGAAACCCUGUCUCUACUAAAAAAUACAAAAAUUAGCUGGGUGUGGUGGCACGCGCCUGUAGUCUCAGCUACUCAGGAGGCUGAGGCAGGAGAAUCGCUUGAACCCGGGAGGCAAAGGUUGCAGUGAGCUGAGAUGGCACAACUGCACUCCAGCCUGGCGACAGAGUGAGACUCCAUCUCAAAAAAAAAAGUUUUAUAACGUGGGUUUUGGGGAACAGGGUGGAUUAACCACGUCAUAUCUCAGUUUUAGUCUUUGCUGCUAUAUUUCAUAGACAUGUUUUUACUUUUGAUCUGUAUGAAUCUUUGUAAUAAUCUGGCCAUGUUGCAAUAAAGCCACACCUGAGAAGGUCA